rnacentral:rRNA from 1 species
GACGAACGCUGGCGGCGUGCUUAACACAUGCAAGUCGAACGGAAAGGCCCUGCUUUUGUGGGGUGCUCGAGUGGCGAACGGGUGAGUAAGACGCGAGUACCCUGCCCUUGCCGUAGGGAUAACUACAGGAAAGUGGGGCGAAUACAGGAUAGGAGCUCCAGCUGCAUGGCGGGGGUUGGAAAGUUUCGGCGGGUGGGGAUGGACUGGCGGCUUAUCAGCUUGUUGGGGGGGUAGUGGCUUACGAAGGCCUAGGCGGGUAGCCGGCCUGAGAGGGUGACCGGCCACAUUGGGCCUGUGAUACGGCCCGGACUCCUACGGGAGGCAGAGGUGGGGAAUAUUGCACAAUGGGCGGAAGCCUGAUGCAGCAACGCCGCGUGCGGGGUGACGGCCUUCGGGUUGUAGACCGCUUUCGCCUGUAUCGAAGCGUGGGUGACGGUAAUGGGUAAAGAAGCACCGGCUAACUACGUG